rnacentral:rRNA from 1 species
UACGGAGGAUCCGAGCGUUAUCCGGAUUUAUUGGGUUUAAAGGGUGCGCAGGCGGGAGAUUAAGUCGGCAGUGAAAUUUUGCAGCUCAACUGUAAAAGUGCCUUCGAAACUGGUUUCCUUGAGUGUGGAUGAAGUAGGCGGAAUUUGUGGUGUAGCGGUGAAAUGCAUAGAUAUCACGAGGAACUCCGAUUGCGCAGGCAGCUUACUAAACCAUAACUGACGCUCAGGCACGAAGGCGUGGGGAUCAAACAGGAUUAGAUACCCU